rnacentral:tRNA from 1 species
UGGGCUGUGGCUCAGUGGUAGAGUGCUCACUUAGCAUGUGCUAGGCGCUGGGUUGGAUCUCCAGCACCACAU